rnacentral:rRNA from 1 species
UGCGGGACGGAUUAGUGGCGAACGGGUGAGUAAUACGUGAGUAACCUGCCCCUGACUCUGGGAUAAGCCUGGGAAACCGGGUCUAAUACUGGAUACUACCUCCUGCCGCAUGGUGGGUGGUGGAAAGGGUUCUACUGGUUUUGGAUGGGCUCACGGCCUAUCAGCUUGUUGGUGGGGUAAUGGCUCACCAAGGCGACGACGGGUAGCCGGCCUGAGAGGGUGACCGGCCACACUGGGACUGAGACACGGCCCAGACUCCUACGGGAGGCAGCAGUGGGGAAUAUUGCACAAUGGGCGCAAGCCUGAUGCAGCGACGCCGCGUGAGGGAUGACGGCCUUUCGGGUUUGUAAACCUCUUUUCAGUAGGGAAGAAGCGAAAGUGACGGUACCUGCAGAAGAAGCGCCGGCUAACUACGUGCCAGCAGCCGCGGUAAUACGUAGGGCGCAAGCGUUGUCCGGAAUAUUUGGGCGUAAAGAGCUCGUAGGCGGUCUGUCGCGUCUGCUGUGAAAGCCCGGGGCUCAACCCCGGGUCUGCAGUGGGUACGGGCAGACUAGAGUGCAGUAGGGGAGACUGGAAUUUCCUGGUGUAGCGGUGAAAUGCGCAGAUAUCAGGAGGAACACCGAUGGCGAAGGCAGGUCUCUGGGCUGUUACUGACGCUGAGGAGCGAAAGCAUGGGGAGCGAACAGGAUUAGAUACCCUGGUAGUCCAUGCCGUAAACGUUGGGCACUAGGUGUGGGGGACAUUCCACGUUCUCCGCGCCGUAGCUAACGCAUUAAGUGCCCCGCCUGGGGAGUACGGCCGCAAGGCUAAAACUCAAAGGAAUUGACGGGGGCCC